GUGCCAGCAGCCGCGGUAAUACGUAGGGUGCGAGCGUUGUCCGGAAUUAUUGGGCGUAAAGAGCUCGUCUCUCUGUUUGUCGCGUCUGCUGUGAAAACCCGGGGCUUAACCCCGGGCCUGCGGUCGAUACGGGCAGACUAGAGUUCGGCAGGGGAGACUGGAAUUCCUGGUGUAGCGGUGAAAUGCGCAGAUAUCAGGAGGAACACCGGUGGCGAAGGCGGGUCUCUGGGACGUUACUGACGCUGAGGAGCGAAAGCGUGGGGAGCGAACAGGAUUAGAUACCCUGGUAGUCCACGCCGUAAACGUUGGGCACUAGGUGUGGGAUUCAUUCCACGGGGUCCGUGCCGUAGCUAACGCAUUAAGUGCCCCGCCUGGGGAGUACGGCCGCAAGGCUAAAACUCAAGGAAAU
rnacentral:rRNA from 1 species